GAACUGUGAUGUAGGUCACAGCCUCAGCUCAGAUCCCAUGUUGCUGUGGUGUAGGCCGGCAACUACAGCUCCGAUUUGACCCCUAGCCUGGGAACUUCCAUAUGCUGCUGUGGCCCUAAAUGACAAAUAAAUAAAUAAAAUGUUCCGCAGGAUUGCUUAGAACAUAUUACAGACAGGCUGCCAUAUUUAUAAAUACUAUAUGUGAACUCUCAAGUUUGGUACAGUCCUCAUCCUGUGUAUGUCCUUUUGCCAGUUUUAGUACUGCAGGUAUGUUUUACGCAUACACACACCCUAUACUUAGACAUGAAAGGUAGUCAUUUUCCAAAUCACUUGUUUUCAGAGAGGUUAGAAAGAAAUUGAAAAACAUGCCAAUAGUUGCCAUUAUGCUAAGUAAAAAACUAUUGGCUAAUUGUAAGCAAUCAUUAAAGAACAUUAAACACUCAUUUCAUAACUGUUGAUUAUUGAAUGCCUACUAUGUGCUGGUACAUUUCUAAGCGCUUGGUGUAUAUUGUCGCAAAUCCUUAGCACCCCACUUUAAGGACUUGGGGAACCUGAGAUUUAGAGAAAUUGAGUGACAUACCUAGUAAAUGAUGGACUGUGAUUUGCAGCCAGCUUUCUGACUCUAAAGACAGACCUUUUAUCUCAAACUGUACUACUUCCUUAUAGUAAGUGAGAGUAGGUUCAGAGUAGGUCUGACAUCUGCUCUAAAUAGCCCCACUGUCUCUGAGAGCUGGAGGACUGGAAAGUCAAUAUUUUUAAAACAGCAUAGACAUCAUCCUCAUCCAUCAUAUUUAGAUGAUCUACUCCCCAGAGGAGCGGCUGAAAUGAAGGGGCAGAGAAGAGAAUAUGGAAUCAAAGAAAGAAGGGGAAAAGUGGAGUCUGAGGACUCAGGGUGUGUAAAUGUUUCUGUUGAGAUUACUCCUCAGGACAGUUGUCCUACUAUCAACUACACAGUAGAUAAAGAGCUUUCCAGUUCUUCACAUCUUGCGUGUCACUCUUGAAAUGCCAUUCAGUAUUUCACCCCCACGUGGUGAAAUUUGUCAUCAUAUAAGAUAAAUACAGAAUUAGUAUGUCUUUAUGGAAUGGUCUCAUGAGUCUUUCUGGAGACUAAAAGAAAAGUACUCUAGCCAUUCUCCUUAGGACUGAGACGCAUAUCUCAUCAGCCAAGGUCUAACCCCUGUCAGCCAUGCUGUCAAGGUCAGAUAUUUCAUCUCAUCAUCAAUCUUAGAAACCGUUGGCUGUAGAACCAAGUUUAACAAAUGUGUUUAUGACCUAGAAGAGUGUGGAGGGAAUGCUAAUCCUCACCCCAUCCAUCAUCAACUCAUUCUCACCUAAAGCAAGGUAGGUAUUGAAGGUGUCUCUUCAGUAUUUUGUCUUGGAAGGGUUCUGACGCGUCCUCCUACAGCAGUGUGCUUCCAACUUUUUUGCUCUUGUGGUGUCUAAAAGGCUCUGUAAAACCCUGCAUCCUAAGCAUGUUUUUAAGCUAAUUGCUAAAACUUUUCUCCUAAGUUCACAUAGCUGCAAAGAAUGUCAUUUUUCAGCAUAUUGUAAAUGUUGACUUUUUAAAUUGUUACGUCAUUUAAAAACCUCCAGUUGGAUCUAUGUGUUUUUUAAAUGCCCAAAUAAGUUAACAGUUAAAAUGUUUACAUGUUUCCUUUUCCUCCUUAAAUUCGUAUUUCUAUUUCCUUUCCCUGACAAAAUUCUAUCCCAGUGCUAGGGGUUGAAUCGGAGCUGUAGCUGCCAGCCUACGCCAGAGCCACAGCAACGCGGGACCCGAGCCGCGUCUGCGACCUACACCACAGCUCACGGCAACGCCGGAUCGAUAACCCACUGAGCAAGGGCAGGGACCGAACCCGCAACCUCAUGGUUCCUAGUCGGGUUUGUUAACCACUGCGCCACGAUGGGAACUCCAGAGAGAAAGUCUUUUAAAUUAUAACCCAAGAUUUGGUUUGGGAGAGAAAAAUUAGGGAAGGAACUUUUAACUUAAUCCAGAAUCAUUUGUGAGUCUGACCAGAUGAUACUGAGAAGCUUGAAUCUUUUUUUUAGCGCUCAUUGCUGCUUUUAUUGGAUUGAUGAUGGUUUUCUGAGCACCUAUAGUUUUAUAAUUGUUAGCAGGAAAGAAGUGCCUCUUGUGAUGUUAUGUACAAGGUGGGUUAUGAAGAAAGCCAUAGUCUUUUAUAUACCAUAUACUUUCCUCUCAUUAUCACGUAUUCUAGUUGACUCUGUCUAAAAAUUAUGAGAAAAAAAAAUAGAGGACCUUGUGAGGUCAGUGGAUGAUGAUCAGCAUUUAGAACCAUAAGACAAGAUUUGGACACGGCCCCUUGAAUACGCUUGCUUUCCAAGUAUGAUGGCUGUUUUGAAAGUCAUCAGUGAGUAUCCACAUGCCCAGUAAAAAAAAAAAAAAAAAAA
rnacentral:lncRNA from 1 species